rnacentral:rRNA from 1 species
AUUGAACGCUGGCGGCAUGCUUUACACAUGCAAGUCGAACGGCAGCGCGGGGCAACCUGGCGGCGAGUGGCGAACGGGUGAGUAAUAUAUCGGAACGUACCCAAGAGUGGGGGAUAACGUAGCGAAAGUUACGCUAAUACCGCAUACGAUCUAUGGAUGAAAGCAGGGGACCGCAAGGCCUUGUAGCUCCUGGAACGGCCGAUAUCUGAUUAGCUAGUUGGUGAGGUAAGGCUCACCAAGGCGACGAUCAGUAGCUGGUCUGA